rnacentral:lncRNA from 10 species
GCGGGGGAGGGGAGUGGAGGUGGUGUUGGUUCAGUUUUUGGUGAGAGAAAAAAGUAUUUUUACUGAUAGAGAUUUUAGCUCCUCCCAAUUCUUGCUUAAAUUAUCCAACUCUUGGGUUAUAAAUUUGCUUUUUAGUGACAGCAUAGCUGCAGCCUGCAGGGUCUCUGAAGAAUGGGUCUUCAUCAGAGGGCAUGUCUCCUGGCAAGGGGGCAUUUGCUGCCUGCUGCCCAGCUCUGAGCAACAGCCCGGAGCCCUGCUGGCUGCUCUCCGCACCCUGAAGCCGGCUCUGAGUUCGACCAAUGCUCAGCCUUCGCUGGUGCGGCCAGGGCCCUCAACUGCUGCUUCCAUUUCAGAUCUCUUCCUAUUUGGAAUUUCACAGCGCUGUGGUCAGCCUGAGCAAAUAAGAAUAUUGAUAGGCUUGAAAGGCAAGAACCUCUUCAGAGAAUGAACUUCAUUAGUCACUAACCCAAGAUCCCAUCAGCUGAGACAGAAUUUCCAGAGCAAAGGGAAGUGAGAGGUUCCCCCUGCCAUGCAACUUUGCAUCAUUCUAG